AUUGAACGCUGGCGGCAGGCUUAACACAUGCAAGUCGAGCGGGGUGAUGGUGCUUGCACUAUCACUUAGCGGCGGACGGGUGAGUAAUGCUUAGGAAUCUGCCUAUUAGUGGGGGACAACAUCUCGAAAGGGAUGCUAAUACCGCAUACGUCCUACGGGAGAAAGCAGGGGAUCACUUGUGACCUUGCGCUAAUAGAUGAGCCUAAGUCGGAUUAGCUAGUUGGUGGGGUAAAGGCCUACCAAGGCGACGAUCUGUAGCGGGUCUGAGAGGAUGAGCCGCCACACUGGGACUGAGACACGGCCCAGACUCCUACGGGAGGCAGCAGUGGGGAAUUUUGGACAAUGGGCGCAAGCCUGAUCCAGCAAUGCCGCGUGCAGGAUGAAGGCCUUCGGGUUGUAAACUGCUUUUGUACGGAGCGAAAAGGCUCUCUCUAAUACAGGGGGCUCAUGACGGUACCGUAAGAAUAAGCACCGGCUAACUACGUGCCAGCCGCCGCCGUAA
rnacentral:rRNA from 1 species